rnacentral:lncRNA from 1 species
AUUCAUAAAACUCUUCAAAUUGAAUUGGCCUUUCAAGUAAUAAAAGAAUACAUCAAAGUAAUACACUAAAUGAGGACUUUUCUCUACAGCAUAUGAUAUAAACCAUAAGAAUUUCUAUUAAAUAUUUGAUUAUUGAAAAGUAAAUGAGACUUUUUCUCAUGUGACAACUAUGGGACUUCAUACAACAAGAAAGAUACUGUGUUGUUAAUGCCUCUAUUUCUUUACCAUGUGAAUUAAUGAGCAUGUUUGAUCUUCCUUGAUUUCUGCAUGCUUCAUUGUUUCUAUCCCUGUCAAAAGCGUACUUUUCACUUUUCUUGUGAAAUAAUCUACAUAAUGCAAACUGACUGUUUAUGGAGCACAAUGAGUAUUCUACCAGUAAGGAAGAAAGGGCAUCAUUUGAUAAAAGCAGGCAUAUUGUUGAGACAGCUACAAAAUUAGAUAAUUUUAGCAGAGAGCAGAUUUUUUUGCUGCCAGUCAGGAUUUAAACAAAGGAAUCAUUCCACACUUGGCAGAUUAUUAUGCUUCUCCAAGGGAAAACAUAACACUGACUGAAAAGAGUUAAGGUCUCAUUUUUCUCAGAUAAUUUUGUUUGAACACGUGCAUCUGCCUGUUUCAUAAAAAAAGCUAAAAAAUCUGAACAAUCUGUAGCAAUUAUUGUUCCAGGCAUAUAAGCAAUGUUCACGUCCUCAUUUUUUGAGUUCUUUUUUAUUAUUAUUAUUUCAGUUUCCAGAGUCCUGCAUCACAUAAUUUUUACCUUUGGUCCCCAGAGCAGCAGACACCAGCGUAAGAGGAGACGCCUGCCACUAUCCGUAUUGCUGAUUCAAACCUGUACCCAGGAUGAUGGUUGCAGACUUCGCUGGUACCGCCACAGCACCUUCAGUGCAGGUUGAUGCCAAAGGUGACAGCCCAGAGCUCGGCACAGACUCUUUCAGCCACUUUCUUGGGUAAGUUUUGCAGCUCAAUUUAUGUCUAUCAUGCUGUUGUGGGACUCAAGGAAUACCUGGCU